rnacentral:rRNA from 1 species
UACGUAGGCAGCAAGCGUUGUUCGGAAUUACUGGGCGUAAAGCGCACGUAGGCGGACUACUAAGUCAGGGGUGAAAUCCCGGGGCUCAACCCCGGAACUGCCUUUGAUACUGAGAGUCUCGAGUCCGGAAGAGGUGAGUGGAAUUCCGAGUGUAGAGGUGAAAUUCGUAGAUAUUCGGAGGAACACCAGUGGCGAAGGCGGCUCACUGGUCCGGUACUGACGCUGAGACGCGAAAGCGUGGGGAGCGAACAGG